UCCGGUUUGUCACCGGCAGUCUCCCUAGAGUUCCCGACCGAAUCGCUGGCAAAUAGGGACAGGGGUUGCGCUCGUUACGGGACUUAACCCAACAUUUCACAACACGAGCUAACGACAGCCAUGCACCACCUGUCACGGGCCCUUACGGACACUAUAUUUCUACAGCUUUUCCCGUGAUGUCAAACCCAGGUAAGGUUCUUCGGGUUGCAUCGAAUUAAGCCGCAUGCUCCGCCGCUUGUGCGGGGACCCGUCAAUUCCUUUGAGUUUUAGCCUUGCGGCCGUACUCCCCAGGCGGGAUACUUAUCGAUUUCUUUUCGGCUCCGAAACCGUCAGAGGUACCGGAACCUAGUGCACAUCGUUUACGGCGUGGACUAC
rnacentral:misc_RNA from 1 species